rnacentral:other from 1 species
ACGACCCUGCGAUGUUGGUGAAAUGAGAAUUGUUUUCUGCUCAACCUAUUAUUAAGGGAUUCCAAUAUAAUUUUGUCGAUUAUCUGUUUUACGGGCUGUCCCGCGAAAUUAUAAGAAGCAAAGUUGAGGAAACCCACCUGGAUUAUCCGGGCGUUAAACUACUCUUUGCCACGGCAUUUGCGGGGUUUUU